UACGUAGGGUGCAAGCGUUGUCCGGAAUUAUUGGGCGUAAAGAGCUCGUAGGCGGUUCUUUAAGUUUGGCGUGAAAUCUCCCGGCUCAACCGGGAGGGUGCGUCGAAUACUGAGGGACUAGAGUACGGGAGAGGAAAGUGGAAUUCCUGGUGUAGCGGUGAAAUGCGUAGAUAUCAGGAGGAACACCGGUGGUGUAGACGGCUUCUGGACCGUAACUGACGCUGAGACACGAAAGCGUGGGUAGCAAACAGG
rnacentral:rRNA from 1 species